rnacentral:lncRNA from 12 species
AUCCUUGAAUAUUCUCAAAUAUCAUUGGAUAUCCUUGAAUAUCCUUGAAUAUCCUUGAAUACCAUUAAAUAUUCUUGAAUAUCCUUAAAUAUCCUUGAAUACCAUUAAAUAUCUUUGAAUAUCCUUGAAUACCAUUAGAUAUCCUUGAAUAUCCUUGAAUAUCCUUAAAUAUGCCCAAAUAUCCUCGAAUAUCCUCAAACACCCACAGGCUUCCACUAUCCCAGGUUGCUCCAGGGAUUGGGGCAGCCUCAGUUUCUCUGGGGAUCAGUGUCUCCCAGCCAGGAAUUCCUUCCCAAAAUCCCACCUCAGUCACCCCCAGCCCUUCAGUUUAAAGCCAUUCCCUCCUGUCCUUGUCACUCCUUUAUUGGAUUUAAAAUCCAAGCCCUUUUUUUUUUUUUUUUUUUUUUUUUUUUUCCUCUGCAGCGAUUUCUUUCCCACUCCUUAUUUACCUCCUGGAUGUGCUGGCAGCUUUCCCUGGGUGUUUGCCCUCGGUGAAUGGUGGAUGCUGCUGUCAGAGGUUUUUGUCAGCAGCUGACUGAUGCCUCCCCAGUAUUAUUUAUUUAUUGUUUCAAUAAUCUGCCUGGGGCAGUUUGCUGCUCCAAAGCUGACAGCAGUGCCCAGCUGGUUUUUCCGUGGGUACCUGCUCCUUGGCCUGGUUACUUUUGUAUUAUUCAUUAUUUUUUAUUUACAGCCCUCCACAACGGUGGGGGGGGGGGGGGGUUAAAAAUUCCCCCCCCCCCCCCCCCCCCCCCCCCCCCCCCCCCCCCCCCCCCCCCCCCCCCCCCCCCCCCCCCCCCCCCCCCCCCCCCCCCCCGGGGGGGGGGGUGUGUUAAAAAUUCCAGCUCCCUCCUCCUGGAUCCUGAGGGAUCGUGGCUUGGGAAUGGCCUCAAAUUGCAGCAGGGGAGGUUUAGGUUGGAUAUUUGGGUGUUUUUUCGUGGCUAGGCCUGGCACAGAGUCCCCAUUCCUGGGGGGUUUAAAGCCCUGGGGAUGUGGCACUUGGGAAAGGGACAGACCCCUGAGCUCUGCUCCUGAUGGGCUCUGGGGUUCUUCUGCCUUUGGGGGGCUCUGAGCCCCUGGAAUCCUCUGGGAAGUGUGUGGGGUGAGCCCAUCCCAUCCCAUCCCAUCCCAU